rnacentral:rRNA from 1 species
AGUAACACGUGGGUAACCUGCCCAGAAGCAGGGGAUAACACCUGGAAACAGAUGCUAAUACCGUAUAACAGAGAAAACCGCCUGGUUUUCUUUUAAAAGAUGGCUCUGCUAUCACUUCUGGAUGGACCCGCGGCGCAUUAGCUAGUUGGUGAGGUAACGGCUCACCAAGGCGAUGAUGCGUAGCCGACCUGAGAGGGUAAUCGGCCACAUUGGGACUGAGACACGGCCCAG